rnacentral:tRNA from 1 species
GGGGUCGUGGUGUAGCUUGGUCCAACACGCAUGCCUGUCACGCAUGAGAUCGCGGGUUCAAAUCCCGUCGACCCCG